rnacentral:rRNA from 1 species
CCUACGGGAGGCAGCAGUGAGGAAUAUUGGUCAAUGGACGAGAGUCUGAACCAGCGAAGUCGCGUGAAGGAUGACUUCCCUCUGGGUUGUAAACUUCUUUUAUAUGGGAGUAAAAUGUUCCACGAGUGGGAUUUUGUAUGUACCAUAUGAAUAUGGCUCGGCUAACUCCGUGCCAGCAGCCGCGGUCAUACUGAGGAUCCGAGCGUUGUCCGGAUUUAUUGGGUGUAAAGGGAGCGUAGGUGGAUUGUUAAGUCAGUUGUGAAAGUUUGCGGCUCAACCGUAAAAUUGCAGUUGAAACUGGCAGUCUUGAGUACAGUAGAGGUGGGCGGAAUUCGUGGUGUAGCGGUGAAAUGCUUAGAUAUCACGAAGAACUCCGAUGGCGAAGGCAGUUCACUGGACUGCAACUGACACUGAGGCUCGAAAGUGUGGGUAUCAAACAGGAUUAGAUACCCCGGUAGUC